UCAGGCCUAACACAUGCAAGUCGAACUAGCUCUAGCGCAAGUUAGAGUGGGUGGCGGACGGGUGAGGGACGCGUAAGAACCUACCCCUAGGAGGAGGAUAACUGCUGGAAACGGCAGCUAAUACUCCAUAUGCUGAGGAGCGAAAGGUCGAGAGACCGCCGAGGGAUGGGCUUGCGGCUGAUUAGCUUGUUGGUGAGGUAAUGGCUCACCAAGGCGACGAUCAGUAUCUGGUUUGAGAGGAUGAUCAGACACACUGGAACUGAGACACGGUCCAGACUCCUACGGGAGGCAGCAGUGGGGAAUUUUCCGCAAUGGGCGAAAGCCUGACGGAGCAAUCUCGCGUGAGGGAUGAAGGGCUAUGGGUUGUAAACCUCUUUUUUCAGGGAGGAACAAAAUGAC
rnacentral:rRNA from 1 species